CCCUUAGACGUUCUGGGCCGCACGCGCGCUACACUGACGAAGGCAACGAGCUUUCCUUUACCGAAAGGUACGGGUAAUCUUUUGAAACUUCGUCGUGCUGGGGAUAGAUCCUUGCAAUUUUUGAUCUUAAACGAGGAAUGCCUAGUAAGCGCAAGUCAUCAACUUGCGUUGAUUACGUCCCUGCCCUUUGUACACACCGCCCGUCGCUGCUACCGAUUGAAUGGUUUAGUGAGGCCUUCGGAUCCGCGACUCGUUUUGUGGAGAAGUUGGACAAACUCAGUCAUUUAGAGGAAGUAAAAGUCGUAACA
rnacentral:rRNA from 1 species